rnacentral:rRNA from 1 species
GAUGAACGCUAGCGGCAGGCUUAACACAUGCAAGUCGAGGGGCAUCAGGGAUUGUGCUUGCACAAUCCGCUGGCGACCGGCGCACGGGUGCGUAACGCGUAUGCAACCUACCUUUAACAGGGGGAUAACACUGAGAAAUUGGUACUAAUACCCCAUAAUACUUUUGAAGGCAUCUUUAGAAGUUGAAAGUUCCGGCGGUUAGAGAUGGGCAUGCGUUGUAUUAGCUAGAUGGUGAGGUAACGCCUCACCAUGGCGAGGAUACAUAGGGGGACUGGGAGGUUAACCCCCAACUGUGGUACUGAGAAACGGACCAAACUCAUACGGAGGGCAGCAGAGAAGAAUAUUGGUCAAAGGACACAAGUCUUAACCAUGCAUGCCGCGUGCAGGUCACGGCCCUAUGGGUCUUAAACUUCUUUUGUCAGGGAGCAAUAAGUCCCACGUGUGGGAUGAUGAGAGUACCUGACGAAUACGCAUCGGCUAACUCCGUGCCAGCCGCCGCCGUAAGAC